UUUAGAAUUAAUGCCCAAAUAAACUGUGCAAUAAAAUAAUCUGAGAGGAUAGGAUAUAUUGCAUCCAUCACAAAACAGCAAAAUAUGCUAUUAUGAAAAAAUUGUAAUAAAAUUAAUGAAUGAAAAUGGCAUGGAAGUAUAUAGGAAUAUUCUGAAAAACUAAUUUAAUAAAUUACUAUAGAAUAUAGAAAAAGAAAAUCAUAUCACAGAGAAACUAUUAGAAAAUUUCAGAAUAAUUUCAGGACUUCCAGUGAUAACAAAGAAUUUUCCCAAAUGAAAACAAUAAGCAAAAACAUACUCAAAGAAAAUUACCAAACUAAUGACAACAGAACUUUUUUUCCAAAAUGAAAGGCAACAGUCACUCAGUUUCAGAAGACUGCCAAAUGUCCUAAAAUACUGAAUGCUAAAGAAUGCUAAACCAAGAUGGUAACAUUAAGAAUUUUCACUGAAGUAGUUUCAGGAAAAACUUUAUUUGAGAAAUUCAGAGAAAAUUUAGAAAUCAUGUGAAAAAUAGAAAAUAAAAUGUCAAUGGACUUCUUGAGAACAAAAAUGAAUUCAGGAAGAAAUGAAACACUUAUGAAUUCCAUAUUAUAAAUUAGAAUGCCUUUUAGCCCAGAGUUGUAUAUAUAGACUGCUAAAGCAUGGGGAUAGAAUAAGUUUGCAGGCACUCUACGAAUCUUCUAGAAAUAGUAAAAAAAGAAAUAGGAAAAUACGUGUUUAAGAUAACAAAUAUGGUACAGUAAAAUCAGGGAUGAGAAGACUGGGCCUUAAGGAGAAUCAGCAUAGAAUAUUAGUCUAAGUACAAAAAGUCUAAGUGCUCUCAGAGGAAGAUAUCAGGAUACAGAAAAAUAAAUUAAGAUAACUUGUUAGAAUAUUUGAAAAGUAUGAUGAUACAUAAAAUAGAAAUGAAUGAUGAAAUAUGGCAUAAAUAAACAGGGGUAAACACAGAAUACAGAAACCAAUGUUGGAAUGGGGUAUAAGUAAUUUAACAGUUAGGGGUAAAUACAUAGAAAAUGAUGUGAAUAAAAUGAAGCAGAAGCAAUGGUAACCUCAAAGUGAAAAGUGUUUGUAUAGUCAUAAUAAUAUAAACCAUUUAAACUUGUCUCUCUGUUUCUUUUAUCUUUACAUACAUGCUCACACAACAAUAAUUAUUAUAUAUUUAAAUUGUAAUAUAUUUAAUUAGACAUGUUCAUAAUGUAAUUAUGAUAUAAUAUUGAUUUUAAUAUUGACUUAAUUUAAGCAUUUGGAAAAUAUUUAUUUGAAGUAUCUUUUUAAAUUUUUUAACUUUUUUAUUUGUUUUGGUAUCUGGGAUUGAACCCAGGGGAGCUUAACCACAGAAACACAUCCCCAGCCCUUUUUUUUAUAUUUUAUUUAGAGAUAGGGUCCUGCUUAGUUGCUUAACGCCUUGCCAAGAGGCUGAGUCUGGCUCUGAAUGUGUGAUCCUCCUGCAUCAUCUUCUUCAAGUCACUGGAAUUUCAGGCAUGCCCCAUUAUUUGUGACUGAAGUAAAAUUUUGAUAGCAUAAAUUAGAAUGGUGAACAAAAAGGAAGUAACCAAGAAUUGAUAUUAAAAGUUAAUAAAGAAGAUCAUGAAUUAAAUAUAGCAAUCAAAAUAAGCUGCAUAAUGAGAAAUAUGGAAACAUAUAGCAAAAGUAAAUAAACUGCUGUUUUAGUUGAAUCUGA
rnacentral:lncRNA from 1 species